UAUACCAUAAAUGCAAUUAUAUUUAUUUUAUUAUAUAUUAAUAUAUAUAUAUACAGAGUGUCCUACAGUGUUAUUUUUAUUUUUAUAACUCUGUAAAAUAUUCUUUUUAUUUUCAUUCCUUAAUCACCGAAAAAGAUUUGAUUUUUCAAACUAAUUUUUAAAAUUUUCAAAAUAGGCAUUUUGUAAAAUAUAUUUUUCUAAAAAUUUUAAUUUAUUGAAAAUAAACGUGAAAAUAAUUAAUAUUCAAUUAAAGAUAAGGAAUUAACGUUUUGAUUUUGAUUCUUUAUUGCAUAACGUGUUAUUAAAAAGUGAUAAAAUAAAAAGAUUUUCUUUCAAUUAAGAGAUGAAAAUAAACAUUUAAUUUUUCUCUACAUAUGUGUCCCCCUCACGCAAUAUUCGAUUGAAAAAAAAAAAAAUGAAUAUUGAUCAAAUCGUUAGCAUAAGGAUAACACUGUAGGACAUCUUGUAUGUAAUUAAUAUACAUGGCGCGUACAUCGUAGUUUUUGUAGAAUUUUGAUUACUGUCGGUUAUUAUACUAUUAAAAUAACUAAAAUAUGAGAAUGUUCGCUGUGCAAUAUAGGUAUGACUUGUAAGUCCAUUUUGUUUUAAUUUCUAUACACACGUAAUUGAAUUUAUUAAACAAGAUACCUAUACCUAUCGCCUUUUAACACUUCACCGCGUGAGGUGGGAGCGCACAGUCGCGUAUAGGUAUUGAUGCAACCACUGGUUCACAAUCCGUAAUUAAUAGUUUGAUCAACCGGAAUUGAGAAGUGAUUGGACAAAUUUGACCGAAAUUAGUGUUAGGAGUACAAAUGUGUUUCAAAAUGUACCGGUCUCGAGGGGGGGGGAGGGGGAAUUAUUUUCCGUAAAUACGUCUGUGGGCGUGACUAUGAGGUGUUUAGCUCCCAUACUUCAUUGGCAGUGUUAAAUAAAACCAAAAAUGAUCAAAAACUUGUCAGCGUUUUAAUUUAAUUAAAUUAAUUACAUUGCACUAUUGUAAAAUACUAAACGGUAUAAUAACUACUAUAGCACUGAGAAAAAUGCACAAAAAGGCUUUUUAAAAAUAUAAACAAUGUAUAUGGAUUAUGGGUGUAAGUACAUGUAUAUUUAUUACCACUAUUCGCCCAAACUCUACUGAACGGAUAGAACUGAAACCGCGUAUAUAUGUAGUUCUUGACCAGGGAUAACAUAUAUGUUACUUCCUCUCCCCCGUAUUUUAUCCCAAAGGAGAAUGGUGGUUCAGAGUCAUCGGUAUUUCGGGAACGAAAAUAAUGAUUUUGUUGAUUUAUGGAUAACCUCGGCUAUCCGAAUGAAAUUAAAACCAAAAAAUGAACGGGGUAAAAUCUACGCGAGUAGCCCCCGAUUAAGAGCCGUAAUAGGAUAAUGAUAAUAUUUUUAUUAAUAUUUCUUUUGACACGGGCAGUGCCUAGCGGGGUACGUUAUUAUAUGUAAAUUUUAUUUGCUACGUUUAACCAAAUCUCCCUCCCCAUUCC